rnacentral:rRNA from 1 species
UACGUAGGGGGCAAGCGUUGUCCGGAAUCAUUGGGCGUAAAGAGCGCGUAGGCGGCCCGGUAAGUCCGCUGUGAAAGUCAAAGGCUCAACCUUUGAAUGUCAGCGGAUACUGCCGGGCUAGAGUCCGGAAGAGGCGAGUGGAACUCCUGGUGUAGCGGUGGAAUGCGCAGAUAUCAGGAAGAACACCAACGGCGAAGGCAGCUCGCUGGGACGGAACUGACGCUGAGACGCGAAAGCGUGGGGAGCAAACAGG